AACGCGAAGAACCUUACCUACUCUUGACAUCCAUGGAAGUUGGUAGAGAUAUCGAUGUGCCGAGAGGAACCAUGAGACAGGUGCUGCAUGGCUGUCGUCAGCUCGUGUUGUGAAAUGUUGGGUUAAGUCCCGCAACGAGCGCAACCCUUGUACUUUAUUACCAACGAUACGGUCGGGGACUUAAAGUAGACUGCCGGUGAUAAGCUGGAGGAAGGUGGGGACGACGUCAAGUCAUCAUGGCCUUUAUGAGUAGGGCAACACACGUGCUACAAUGGUACGUACAGAGGGAAGCGAGCUAGAGAUAGUAAGCGGAACCCAGAAAGCGGGUCGUAGUCCGGAUUGGAGUCUGCAACUCGACUCCAUGAAGUUGGAAUCGCUAGUAAUCGCAGAUCAGCAUGCUGCGGUGAAUACGUUCCCGGGCCUUGUACACACCGUAGUAC
rnacentral:rRNA from 1 species